AUCCAAGGUGAUUCCCUCUCCAAGGGGCCUGCCCGUGCCCCCUUCAGGAAAGUAGCAGCUUGGAAUAAGAUCCGGCAUGCCUCAGGUUACGGGGGAGAGGGUGUGUCUGUCUCCUUUGCCUGCCUUUGGCUGCCUACACGC
ensembl:snoRNA small nucleolar RNA, H/ACA box 67